rnacentral:snoRNA from 1 species
GUGAAGACGCUUACAAGGUCUGACAGAUGAGGAGGGCUGAGCAACUGA